rnacentral:rRNA from 1 species
UGGUGGAGCGAUUUGUCAGGUUAAUUCCGUUAACGAACGAGACUUUAAUAUGCUAAAUAGCCACUAAAGCUGCGGCUUUAGCUGUGCUUCUUAGAUAGACCAUGUGCGUUCCAGCACAAGGAAGUUUAAGGCAAUAACA